rnacentral:rRNA from 1 species
UUGGUAAUCUUCCACAAUGGGCGCAAGCCUGAUGGAGCAACACCGCGUGCGCGAAGAAGGGUUUCGGCUCGUAAAGCUCUGUUGUUGGAGAAGAACGUACGUGAGAGUAACUGUUCACGCAGUGACGGUAUCCAACCAGAAAGUCACGGCUAACUACGUGCCAGCAGCCGCGGUAAUACGUAGGUGGCAAGCGUUAUCCGGAUUUAUUGGGCGGAAAGCGCGCGCAGGCGGUUGCUUAGGUCUGAUGUGAAAGCCUUCGGCUUAACCGAAGAAGGGCAACGGAAACCGGGCGACUUGAGUGCAGAAGAGGACAGUGGAACUCCAUGUGUAGCGGUGGAAUGCGUAGAUAUAUGGAAGAACACCAGUGGCGAAGGCGGCUGUCUGGUCUGCAACUGACGCUGAGGCUCGAAAGCAUGGGUAGCGAACAGG